GUAAACUUAGCCAAAUACUUUAUUCAACCUUUUGGUUUAGUCUUUUGAUUAUCAUAGUGACCCUAUAGGCCUACUCCCUUUCCAUGAAUAAUUAUAUUAGUCUAAGCAUCUUAACUCAUUUGCAAUCAUCUAUUUAAGUGCCUCAGCCUUUCAGACUUGUCUAACAAUUAGGAAUAUUGUUUUUGUUUUUGAAAGAUACUUUUACUCUGCUGCCAAUUUGACAGGUGUAUUAAGUUAAUUAGGCUAAUCAAAACAUCACAAAGUUGCCUUCAUCACAAGCUUCCAAAACUUGUUGGACCUAUGCCUAUUGUUUUGUCAGUUGGUGAGAAGAGGUGAGAAGACUCCUGAUCAAUGACGUCUUGUGGCAUGGAGGAGGUGGAUGCUUUGAUGCAAAGUUUAGUCCUAUUCUUGGUUCCCAACCUUUUUAGCUUGUGACCCUUUAAACGAAGCAGUGUACUUACGACCACUCAUCCCCAGUCGCAGAUGUCUACCAGUUGUGACUUGUGACAAGUUAAACCGAAGACUGAAUCAAAUUUAGGGGUUUAAAAUCUUCAGACAGAUGGUUAAAAGUCUUUGAGGAUUCUGGAAAUACCUUCAAAACAGCUGUUAGCUCGUACUGAGAGGAGCUGUACUGUCAACAAAUGAGGGAGUGGUCAGUAAAAGAGCAAAGGAAGCAAUUACG